rnacentral:rRNA from 1 species
CCCCCGCGCCACGAGUGGCAAUCGGCAUUAUUGGGUCUAAAGCGUCCGUAGUCGGCUGUGUAAAUCUUCCGUGAAAUCGUCCCGCUCAACGGGACGGCGUGCGGAAGACACUGCAUGGCUCGGGACCAGAAGGUGCAAGAGGUAUUCCCGGGGUAGCGGUAAAAUGCGAUAAUCCUGGGAGGACCACCGAUGGCGAAGGCAUCUUGCAAGGAUGGGUCCGACGAUGAGGGACGAAAGCCAGGGGA